GACGAACGCUGGCGGCGUGCUUAACACAUGCAAGUCGAACGGAAAGGCCCUGCUUUUGUGGGGCGCUCGAGUGGCGAACGGGUGAGUAACACGUGAGUAACCUGCCCUUGACUUUGGGAUAACUUCAAGAAACUGGGGCUAAUACCGGAUAGGAGCUCCUGCUGCAUGGUGGGGGUUGGAAAGUUUCGGCGGUUGGGGAUGGACUCGCGGCUUAUCAGCUUGUUGGUGGGGUAGUGGCUUACCAAGGCUUUGACGGGUAGCCGGCCUGAGAGGGUGACCGGCCACAUUGGGACUGAGAUACGGCCCAGACUCCUACGGGAGGCAGCAGUGGGGAAUAUUGCACAAUGGGCGGAAGCCUGAUGCAGCAACGCCGCGUGCGGGAUGACGGCCUUCGGGUUGUAAACCGCUUUCGCCUGUGACGAAGCGUGAGUGACGGUAAUGGGUAAAGAAGCACCGGCUAACUACGUG
rnacentral:rRNA from 1 species